ACGAACGCUGGCGGCGUGCUUAACACAUGCAAGUCGAACGGUGACGAGGAGCUUGCUCCUCCGAUCAGUGGCGAACGGGUGAGUAACACGUGAGCAACCUGCCUCUCACUCUGGGAUAACAGUUGGAAACAGCUGCUAAUACCGGAUACGACACAGACAGGCAUCUGUACUGUGUGGAAAGUUUUUCGGUGAGGGAUGGGCUCGCGGCCUAUCAGUUUGUUGGUGGGGUAAUGGCCUACCAAGGCAAAGACGGGUAACUGGUCUGAGAGGAUGAUCAGUCACACUGGAACUGAGACACGGUCCAGACUCCUACGGGAGGCAGCAGUGGGGAAUUUUGCGCAAUGGACGAAAGUCUGACGCAGCGACGCCGCGUGGGUGAUGAAGGCCUUCGGGUUGUAAAGCCCUGUGGGGAGGAAAGAAUAAGCCUUGGCUAAUAUCCAAGGUGAUGACGGUACCUCCUUAGCAAGCACCGGCUAACUCUGUGCCAGCAGCCGCGGUAAGACAGAGGGUGCAAACGUUGUUCGGAAUUACUGGGCGUAAAGCGUGUGUAGGCGGCUACAAAAGUCGGACGUGAAAGCCCCGGGCUCAACCCGGGAAGUGCGCUCGAUACUGUGUGGCUAGAGUUUCGGAGAGGUUGGUGGAAUUCUCGGUGUAGAGGUGAAAUUCGUAGAUAUCGGGAAGAACACCGGCGGCGAAGGCGGCCAACUGGACGAAAACUGACGCUGAGACACGAAAGCGUGGGGGAGCAAACAGGAUUAGAUACCCUGGUAGUCCACGCCGUAAACGAUGGGGUGCUAGGUGUUACUGGUUUUGACUCCGGUAGCGCCGUAGCCAACGCAUUAAGCACCCCGCCUGGGAAGUACGGCCGCAAGGCUAAACUCAAGGAAUUGACGGGGGCCCGCACAGCGGUGGAGCAUGUGGUU
rnacentral:rRNA from 1 species